CCCUUAGAUGUCCGGGGCCGCACGCGCGCUACACUGAAGGAAUCAGCGUGGCUUUCUCCCUGACCCGAAAGGGUUGGGAAACCCGUUGAAUCUCCUUCGUGAUAGGGAUUGGGGCUUGAAAUUGUUCACCAUGAACGAGGAAUUCCCAGUAAGCGCGAGUCAUAAGCUCGCGUUGAUUACGUCCCUGCCCUUUGUACACACCGCCCGUCGCUACUACCGAUUGAACGGUUUAGUGAGGGCCUCGGAUUGGUCUCGGCCCGCUCUUUACCGGGCGGCGCCGUUGGUCGAGAAGACGCUCGAACUUGAUCGUUUAGAGGAAGUAAAAGUCGUAACA
rnacentral:rRNA from 1 species